GCCGGUGACGAAAGCAAAAGGGACCCACCCGAACCCAUUCCGAACUCGGAAGUUAAGCCUUUUCGCGCCGAUGGUACUGCCGGGGCCACCCGGUGGGAGAGUAGGUCAUCGCCGGCC
rnacentral:rRNA from 1 species